UACGAAGGGGACUAGCGUUGUUCGGAAUUACUGGGCGUAAAGGGUGCGCAGGCCGCGCGGGCAGUCAAAUGUGUAAUCCAGGGGCUCAACCCCUGAACUGCGCUUGAUACUUCCGCGCUCGAGCUUUGGAGAGGAGUCUGGAAUUCUCGGUGUAGCAGUGAAAUGCGUAGAUAUCGAGAGGAACACCUGAGGUGAAGACGGGUUGCUGGGCCGACACUGACGCUGAGGCGCGAAAGCCAGGGUAGCAAACGGG
rnacentral:rRNA from 1 species